rnacentral:rRNA from 1 species
AUACGUAGGUGGCAAGCGUUGUCCGGAUUUAUUGGGGCGUAAAGCGAGCGCAGGCGGUUUUUUAAGUCUGAUGUGAAAGCCUUCGGCUCAAACCGAAGAAGUGCAUCGGAAACUGGGAAACUUGAGUGCAGAAGAGGACAGUGGAACUCCAUGUGUAGCGGUGAAAUGCGUAGAUAUAUGGAAGAACACCAGUGGCGAAGGCGGCUCUCUGGUCUGUAACUGACGCUGAGGCUCGAAAGCGUGGGUAGC